rnacentral:rRNA from 1 species
GAGGCCGACAGGCGUAGGCGAUGGAUAACAGGUUGAUAUUCCUGUACCACCUAUAAUCGUUUUAAUCGAUGGGGGGACGCAGUAGGAUAGGCGAAGCGUGCGAUUGGAUUGCACGUCUAAGCAGUAAGGCUGAGUAUUAGGCAAAUCCGGUACUCGUUAAGGCUGAGCUGUGAUGGGGAGAAGACAUUGUGUCUUCGAGUCGUUGAUUUCACACUGCCGAGAAAAGCCUCUAGAUAGAAAAUAGGUGCCCGUACCGCAAACCGACACAGGUAGUCAAGAUGAGAAUUCUAAGGUGAGCGAGCGAACUCUCGUUAAGGAACUCGGCAAAAUGACCCCGUAACUUCGGGAGAAGGGGUGCUCUUUAGGGUUAACGCCCAGAAGAGCCGCAGUGAAUAGGCCCAAGCGACUGUUUAUCAAAAACACAGGUCUCUGCUAAACCGUAAGGUGAUGUAUAGGGGCUGACGCCUGCCCGGUGCUGGAAGGUUAAGAGGAGUGGUUAGCUUCUGCGAAGCUACGAAUCGAAGCCCCAGUAAACGGCGGCCGUAACUAUAACGGUCCUAAGGUAGCGAAAUUCCUUGUCGGGUAAGUUCCGACCCGCACGAAAGGCGUAACGAUUUGGGCACUGUCUCAACGAGAGACUCGGUGAAAUCAUAGUACCUGUGAAGAUGCAGGUUACCCGCGACAGGACGGAAAGACCCCGUGGAGCUUUACUGUAGCCUGAUAUUGAAAUUCGGCACAGCUUGUACAGGAUAGGUAGGAGCCUUUGAAACGUGAGCGCUAGCUUACGUGGAGGCGCUGGUGGGAUACUACCCUAGCUGUGUUGGCUUUCUAACCCGCACCACUUAUCGUGGUGGGAGACAGUGUCAGGCGGGCAGUUUGACUGGGGCGGUCGCCUCCUAAAAGGUAACGGAGGCGCUCAAAGGUUCCCUCAGAAUGGUUGGAAAUCAUUCAUAGAGUGUAAAGGCAUAAGGGAGCUUGACUGCGAGACCUACAAGUCGAGCAGGGUCGAAAGACGGACUUAGUGAUCCGGUGGUUCCGCAUGGAAGGGCCAUCGCUCAACGGAUAAAAGCUACCCCGGGGAUAACAGGCUUAUCUCCCCCAAGAGUUCACAUCGACGGGGAGGUUUGGCACCUCGAUGUCGGCUCAUCGCAUCCUGGGGCUGUAGUCGGUCCCAAGGGUUGGGCUGUUCGCCCAUUAAAGCGGUACGCGAGCUGGGUUCAGAACGUCGUGAGACAGUUCGGUCCCUAUCCGUCGUGGGCGUAGGAAAUUUGAGAGGAGCUGUCCUUAGUACGAGAGGACCGGGAUGGACAUACCUCUGGUGUACCAGUUGUCGUGCCAACGGCAUAGCUGGGUAGCUAUGUGUGGACGGGAUAAGUGCUGAAAGCAUCUAAGCAUGAAGCCCCCCUCAAGAUGAGAUUUCCCAACUUCGGUUAUAAGAUCCCUCAAAGAUGAUGAGGUUAAUAGGUUCGAGGUGGAAGCAUGGUGACAUGUGGAGCUGACGAAUACUAAUCGAUCGAAGACUUAAUCAA